rnacentral:rRNA from 1 species
UACAGAGGGGGCAAGCGUUAUUCGGAAUUAUUGGGCGUAAAGGGCGCGUAGGCGGUUCUUCAAGUCUCUCGUGAAAUCCCUCGGCUUAACUGAGGACGUGCGGGAGAUACUGAAGGGCUUGAGUCCGGAAGAGGGUGGUGGAAUUCCCAGUGUAGCGGUGAAAUGCGUAGAUAUUGGGAGGAACGACCGGGUGGCGAAGGCGGCCACCUGGGCCGGAAC